UACGUAGGCAGCGAGCGUUGUUCGGAAUUACUGGGCGUAAAGAGUGUGUAGGCGGUGUUCCCAGUCUGUUGUGAAAUCUCCCGGCUUAACUGGGAGGGUGCAGCGGAAACUAGAAUGCUAGAGGGUGGGAGAGGUAAGCGGAAUUCCUGGUGUAGCGGUGAAAUGCGUAGAUAUCAGGAGGAACGCCUGUGGUGUAGACAGCUUACUGGACCACUUCUGACGCUGAGACACGAAAGCGUGGGUAGCAAACAGG
rnacentral:rRNA from 1 species